UUAGGCCUCAUUGCCAACUGGUGUUGCAGAAAUCCCUGCUCUUUGUCAUUGGUUUGAAACUCCUAAACUGUGGACCACUCUUGUAGGUGACAAGUGAGUGAGCAGCCCUUCCCUCAAAGGAGUGCCUGGAUGGGGGGAGAUCUGUUUUAUUUCAUGUGCCCCCAUGGACUAUGCCAUCCCCAAGGAAAUCUUGCUUUUCCCUCCUCCUUUCCCUCAGCACCAUCAAGGGAGACAUUGUCCACAUUGCUGUUAAGACUGUGAUGGAGCUCAUUUGUCUCUGCUGCCUCAGUUCUGUCUGUUUUGCCCAACAUACACAACUAAGGACAAUCGGUUUGCAGAUUAUGUGUGUUUGAGCACGAAAAGAGAAGAGGGAGGACAGAAUGUCGAAAAGUGAAAUCUUAGGGUAAAUAUCUUAAAUCAUGGCAACAUUCCUGGUGGUCUGGUCUAAUACUAUGCCAGGGAACCAUCUCUUAGAAGACAUGAUGGAUGCUCAGCACAUGGACAGAACAUGGAACCAGCCAAGCCCCAAAGAGCCAAACGGGACCACCAAAUCCCCAGAAGACAGCAGAGGUGCUUGGGGACCCUACAUCGCCCAUCUUCUUCCCAUUGCCUACAGGAUGUCAGCCCCAGACCUCAUCAUUUCCCUUCCUGCUCUGGGUCUGGCUUUUCCAUUGUGCAGGUUUUGCCUUUCGUUGCUUCCACGGUCCUACAGCAAGCAAUUCCUUCUCUAGCUUGGUGCGUCCUCUCAACUCUUCCAUGUGAAUCACAGCUGUGGAAUGCAGCCCUUCAGCCGGGGAUGGGAUCAGGGCAGCUCUGGGAAUACCGAAACUCCAAGUAUCAAUUCCUGUAGCAUUGUGUUUUACCCCAACAACAAAAUCUGGGCUGUCAUCGGAAUAAGUUAAUUACUGGCUGAAUCUCAGUGCUAUAGGACUGCCUCCAUCUGCACUCCAGAUGAUCCUGCACACUUGGAAAUGCGUUGUCAGAGCCCAGCAAGUUCUGCAGAUGACUGACUAUGCAGCCACCAGAGGUGGUGGGGGAUAUUAUGGCCUCACAGUGAAAUCUCCUUGCAAGCUAAUCCCUGUGAACUGCUUUGGUUGUGUUUGCCACCUCCUUUGUUCAUGAAUAUUUGGUAGAAAAACAUUCCCUUGCAAAUAAGCACUCGUGAAAAGCAAACAAGUCCUAAUUACUCGUGCAAAUAUUCUCAUCUGAAUGUUUAUGCAAAUACACAUACCCACGUGAGGUCCUGCAUCAAACAGCCAUGAAUACGCAUCUGCAUGAGAAAACACACAAGGUGUAAAAGAAACCACAUUCUGAGUGUCCUUCAUUGGUUCAGUAAGGGACCAGAAGGGAAAGGCAGAACUCCUUGGGCUGCAGCUACAGCUGGGCUCACAGGGGUCAGGCCAACAACAUUUGGUCAAAUCACAUAUACUGUUCUCUAUAAAUAUUGAUUAAUUAAUAGGGUUUCAGGGAAAGAAAAGUGAUUGGUCCGCCUGGAGUAAAAUCAGUGAGUCAUUUUUCUUGGGAAAGCAGGAGAUGAUGAUAGUUAAUUAAAGCAAACACAUCCAGAAUACAUUCUCAGGACCUAAAAUGAUGCUCACAGAGAACCAAUGGAGUGAUUUUAACAACAGAGCACAAUGUGUGUGUGUUUGUGAUUCUGGUGGGUCAGAUGGCACAAGAUGCUCUCCCACAUUUUAUUUGGAAGCUGAGGCAGAAUGGGCUCUUUGGUGGUUGAAAAUAG
ensembl:lncRNA